UGAGGGAAAGUUGCAAGAACUUGAAGAGAGAGUUCAAGAGUACGUGAAACUGCUCAGAGGCAAACGGGUGGGCCCUCGAAAUCCUCUUGCGGAGAGAUUCAGUCGGGAGUCGGAGAGGCGGAAGCGAGUGACGGACCCUGGAAAAGGACGGUUCUCGCUCCGCGGUCUCGCCGGCGCCCGACGCAUUUCUCCCCGCACUCUGGACGCCGCAACCGAUCGGGUAGCGGCGAGAGUCGGCCUCGAGGCCGUCCCAGGCAGGUGGCCGGAUCGCAGUCUUCGUGUCUGCGUUCCGGUUAUUCACGGGGCGGUUCGUGGCACGACACCCGAUCGAGGUCAACGUUCCCCCUGUGGGGAGCAACCCGUCUCCGCCCUCGUGGCGCGGUGACCGGGACAGUGUGCGCCGACGAUGCCGAACCACUCUGCGUAGUGGCCGGCACGGUGGUGGCCGUCGUUGGUUCCGGUGGUGCCGCUGUGGGACGUCGCGGGUUGCGGCGAGUAGUCGGUCACCCACCCGACCCGUCUUGAAACACGGACCAAGGAGUCUAACAUGUGCGCGAGUCGCAGGGUCUUGAACAGGCCCUCGGGCGCAAUGAAAGUGAUKAGAGUUGGGAUUCUCGCUGAAAGCGGGAAGCACCAACGGCCCGUCCGUUCCGAUCCGUCGGUGGGGCGGAGUCAGAGCGUACACGUUGGGACCCGAAAGAUGGUGAACUAUGCCUGGGCAGAACGAAGCCGGAGGAAACUCCC
rnacentral:rRNA from 1 species